GGCGGUCUUCGGUAGUGGUUGCCGGUAGCUGAUGAGAACACUCCGGCAGCUUCGAUCGACGGCCGUA
rfam:Mycobacterium sp. 852013-51886_SCH5428379 contig_7, whole genome shotgun sequence.